UACGGGGGGAGCAAGCGUUGUUCGGAUUUACUGGGCGUAAAGGGCGCGUAGGCGGUAGCACAAGUCAGUUGUGAAAUCUCCGGGCUUAACUCGGAAAGGUCAACUGAUACUGUGCGACUAGAGUGCAGAAGGGGCAACUGGAAUUCUCGGUGUAGCGGUGAAAUGCGUAGAUAUCAGGAGGAACACCGGUGGCGAAGGCGGGUCUCUGGGCAGUAACUGACGCUGAGGAGCGAAAGCGUGGGGGAGCGAACAGG
rnacentral:rRNA from 1 species